CGGCAGGGAAUUUUUUUUUUCAUUAUUUCCACUAUUUCCUUAUUAAAUAAAUGUAGAAAUUAUUUUUGUUAUUGUUUUUGUUUUAUUACAAUUUAUCAUAACAUUAAAUUAUAUCAGAACGAUAAUUCGAAACAACGAAAUAAUUCGAUUAUAAGUAUCAGACAUAUAGAUCUGAAAGUUGAGAGAGAAAGAAUGAAGAAAGGAAGAGAUAAAAAAGAAAGAAACAAAAAAGAGGAACAAUAGGAAAAAGAAACAAAUGGAAUUAAUGAAAUUCUACAUAUGAACGAAAUGGAAUAGUAGAUAAAUAAAAA